UGGCUACCCAGCAGCAGUUCUUCAGUGGCACGCUUUACGUCCCCUCCAGCAGCUAAAGCUGCCAGUUGAAGAACUGUUGACCGUAGCUGC
rnacentral:pre_miRNA from 1 species